rnacentral:rRNA from 1 species
UACGGAGGAUGCGAGCGUUAUCCGGAUUUAUUGGGUUUAAAGGGUGCGUAGGCGGGCUUUUAAGUCAGCGGUAAAAAUUCGGGGCUCAACCCCGUCCGGCCGUUGAAACUGGGGGCCUUGAGUGGGCGAGAAGAAGGCGGAAUGCGUGGUGUAGCGGUGAAAUGCAUAGAUAUCACGCAGAACCCCGAUUGCGAAGGCAGCCUUCCGGCGCCCUACUGACGUUGAGGCACGAAAGUGCGGGGAUCGAACAGG